AAUGUGUUGUGUGUGUGUGUGCAUUAUAGUACCAGACACGCAGAAAGCUUAGCAGGAUCACCAUGUUAGUCCAGGAAAUGUUACUUGGAUGUAUUACUGUUUCAUAAAAUGUGUUGAACCUUCAAGCAACAGGA